ensembl:lncRNA
AUGACUGAACAUUUGGUGUGGGGUCGGUUGCCCAUGGGUACCGUAUUAUCAGCUUGCAGCACGGUACUCAUUGAGCCAUCUGCAGCUGCGUGUGUAAACAAACAGAUAAUGGUUGGGCGAAUAGUUUCUCCACUGUGGGGAGAUGGGUGGCUGCCAAUGAAGAUUAUCAACCCCACUUCAGCAGAAAUAACUCUACGCAGGAACUCAAAAAUUGCAGAUGUUUUCCCCUGCAUUGCUUUAGAGGACUUUGAUCAAUUUUCUGACACUUUGACUGUUCAUCAAAAUGUGGGGAAAGUGCAAAGUAAUAGUUCCUGCUGUAGCCUUACUGCCAGAAGCUUAUGCAGUAACAUAAUCGAUGUGAAUGAUAAGCUGGAGAAGCUAGGGCUUGGCACCAUUCCGAUUGGCAACUGCAAAGUUUCUUUACAGUGUAAGGAGAAACUUGUUGACCUGAUUGAGACAUACGAGUCUGUCUUCUCGAGACAUCAUCUGGAUUGUGGUGAGGCACGGGAUUUCUGCCAUCGCAUUAGAUUAACUGAUGACCGACCAUUUAGGUUGCCAUACCGCAGAUUAUCGCCUGCUCAUUAUCAUAAACUUAAAGAGAGUUUGGAUGAGAUGGAGGCAAAAGAAAUUAUUCGGAAAUUCUGUAGUGAAUUUGCCUCUCCCUUGGUUCUGGUGUGGAAGAAAAAUGGCGAUCUGCGAAUCUGCACAGAUUUCAGAUGGCUUAAUGCCAGGACUGUUAAAGACGCUCAUCCACUUCCACAUCAGAGUGACGUCCUGGCUGCGUUGGGAGGAAACAUGUUUUUUAGCACCAUGGACUUGACGGCUGGCUAUUACAACAUACCCCUUCAUGAACUCGACAGGAAGUAUACUGCAUUCUCGUCACCGCUGGGACUGCACGAAUACAAUCGUCUCCCACAAGUGCUGUAUAAUAGCCCAGCCACAUUUAUGCACAUGAUGCUUACUAUAUUCGGUGACCAGAACUUUUUAAGUCGUCUGUGUUAUCUUGACGAUUUGUUGGUGUUUGCCAAGGCCGAAGAAGAGAGCUUGGCCCGAUUGGAAAUGGUGUUUAGACGCAUGAAAGAACAUAACUGA